AACGAACGCUGGCGGCAUGCCUAACACAUGCAAGUCGAACGAGACCUUCGGGUCUAGUGGCGCACGGGUGCGUAACGCGUGGGAACCUGCCCUUUGGUUCGGAAUAACAGUGGGAAACGACUGCUAAUACCGGAUGAUGACGAAAGCCCAAAGAUUUAUCGCCAGUGGAUGAGCCCGCGUAGGAUUAGCUAGUUGGUGUGGUAAAGGCGCACCAAGGCGACGAUCCUUAGCUGGUCUGAGAGGAUGGUCAGCCACACUGGGACUGAGACACGGCGCAGACUCCUACGUGGGGCAGCAGUAGGGAAUAUUGGGCGAUGGGCGAAAGCCUGAUGCAGUAAUGCGGCGUGAGUGAUGAAGGCCUUAGGGUUGUAAAGCUCUUUUACCGGGGAUGAUAAUGACGGUACCGGGAGAAUAAGCUCCGGCUAACUCCGUGCCAGCCGCCGCGGUAA
rnacentral:rRNA from 1 species